UACAGAGGGUGCGAGCGUUGUCCGGAAUUACUGGGCGUAAAGGGCGCGUAGGCGGCCCGAUAAGUAGGACGUGAAAUUCCGCGGCUCAACCGCGGAACUGCGUUCUAGACUGUCAGGCUUGAGCACGGUAGAGGCAGAUGGAAUUCCCGGUGUAGCGGUGGAAUGCGUAGAGAUCGGGAAGAACACCAGUGGCGAAGGCGGUCUGCUGGGCCGUUGCUGACGCUGAGGCGCGACAGCGUGGGGGAGCAAACAGG
rnacentral:rRNA from 1 species